GUUGGGUUAAGUCACGCAACGAGCGCAACCCUAUUGUUAGUUGCCAUCACAUAAUGGUGGGCACUCUAAUGAGACUGCCCGGGUCAACCGGGAGGAAGGUGGGGACGACGUCAAGUCAUCAUGGCCCUUACGCCUAGGGCUACACACGUACUACAAUGGUGCAUACAAAGGGUUGCGAAACCGCGAGGUCAAGCCAAUCCCAAAAAAUGCAUCCCAGUCCGGAUCGGAGUCUGCAACUCGACUCCGUGAAGUUGGAAUCGCUAGUAAUCCCGGAUCAGCAUGCCGGGGUGAAUACGUUCCCGGGCCUUGUACAGACCGCCCGUCACACCACGAGAGCUGGUUCUACCCGAGAACGGCGGACUAACCCUUCGGGAGGUAGUGGUCUACGGUAGGGCUGGUGAUUGGGGUGAAGUCGUAACAAGGUA
rnacentral:rRNA from 1 species